AAUUAGGGUACAGCUCACUUGCCCCCUUCAGCUGGGGAACCGUGCACAGUAACCAACCAGUACAGGUCUAUGUGGUAGUCCUGAUGCUGGUGAUAAGCAGGCCUAGGAAGUAUGAGGUUGGGAAGGGGACUCAAACAGCUUGCAGAAGAGGCACCCAAGUAGGGUAGAGGGAUGCUAAGGCAGAAGGUGGGAGGGUUCCAAAGAGGCAUUUCAUUUGUUUUUUGCCUUCUUCAUCUUGAUACGCUAUGUUAACAGAACACAGUGUGGAAUCAUAUACUGUGUCUUUUAGACAUGAAGAAAAAGAAAAGGCACAAUCUUUGCUGUUGAAAUGUUUGCACUCUAACUCAGCCAUCCCAUUCCCCCAUCCUUUAUGCCUCACUGCUUAUUACAUUUACUUCCAGUUCUUCCUGUUUAAAUUGAGAACACGGAGGCAAAACCAGGCACUGUGAUAAUGGAAUUUUAUGCUAGGUCUUUGAUUACACUUCCUUUUCCAGCUUCAAUAUUUCACAUUGUGAAUAAUAAUGUUCUUUGUAGGAAAACCCCUUAAUUUGAAAAUGUUGCAGAUGGCCUUUUAUCAGGAGCUAUGGACUGUCAAAAUAAAUAGAUUUAAUUAUGAACCAUUGUUGUGGAAUGGACCGUCUUAAAUAAUAGAAGACAAGUUUCCAAAAAUUAAAAAAGACCUUACAUUUUAAAAGCACCUUAGAAUAAUCAGCUGCUUGGGGUUGACUGGUUUUCAACAAGUUACUCAGCAGAUGGAGGAUGUCAACUUUCACUGGUAACAGCUAUUCUCAUAACUAAGAAGGGAUUUGCUGGGACUUCAUCAUCACUCUUUGCUCGAACAGAGCCUGGUUUAAGAGAAUCCCACUGCCCUAGUACAUUGUGAUGGAGUACUAGGAAAGGUCUUGUGAUUGAGUCAUUUUUAUUUUUUAUUUUAUUUUUUGUCUUUUAGAGUUGCACCUAUGGCAUAUGGAGGUUCCCAGGCUAGGUGUCCAAUCAGAGCUGUAGCUACCAGCCUACACCACAGCGACAGCAAUGCUAGCUCCAAGCGCAUCUGUGACCUACGCCACAGCUCACGGCAACACCAGAUCUUAACCCACUGAGCGAGGCCAGGAAUUGAACUUGUGUUCUCAUGGAUACUAGUCGGUUUCGUUAACCACUGAGCCAUGACAGGAACUCCGAGUCAUUUUUAGAAAGCCAAGGUCUUAAGAUUGGAUAUAGUUCCCUGUGCUAUACAGGAGGACCCUAUUGCUUAGCCAUAGUUUCAAUUUGUAUCUGCUAACCCUAAACUCCCUAUCCCCUCCCCCUCGGCAACCACAAGUCUGUUCUCUGUGUCUGUGAGUCUGUUUCUGUUUUGUAGAUAGGUUCAUUUGUGCCACAGUUUAGAUUCUGCAUAUAAGUGAUAUCAUAUGGUGUUUGUCUUUUUUUUUUUUUUUUUCAGACUUGACUUCACUUUGUAUGAGAAUCUUUCGUUGCCCUGUAACUUCUUGAUCCAGUUAUCAGGGCUUUCUAAUUGCAGUAGGCUAUUCACAGGGUCUUUUUUUUUCUUAAAUAUUCCAGCUUGAAGGGGAGAAUGGAAGGAACUGAUCCCUCAAAGUACUGAACACAGAUUUCAACGUUCAAAUUCUCUCAACUUAGAAAAGACUUUCUCCCCUCUUGGCAAAUCAGGCAGCAUGGAAUCCUCAAGGGCCUAGUUCCACUGUUUUUUUUUUUUUUUUUUUAUGAAGUUGUUCCAAUGUGUGAAACAUCCACCCUGUGGAGGUCUAAAUUGGUUGAAGCUUGAGCCUCACAAAAAAAGGUUUCUGGGAUUUGGAUAAGCCCUUGAUUUAUUGCAAUACAUCUGAUGGUGUCAUCCACUGACCCCUGUGACAUGAGCCCUCUUUUGGGUAAGGCCCACCAGAGGCCAGGAGGCUCACAAUCAGAUCUUUGUCCCUGAAGACAUUUCUCAGCCUCUAUGAAAUCCUCCCCUGACUCCAUGAAAGCAAUAGUUAAAACUACCUUAGGAGAAAUACCCAGUUAAAUAUGUUGAAUAUCUUCAAUUAUUUUGCUUGAAUAUGAAGUUAAAAAUUUUCCCUGUAGUGCCCUUCUUAGGAAAAGUUUAGGAAGAAAUAUUUCAUUAUCAUUUUAAAAAGUUGCUUUAAAGGGGGGAUUUUAGUGACUUUAGGCCAGGCAAAAGUGUUUCUCUUUGCUGUUAGGAAGCUCUAGGUAGAAUUAAUAAGAAAUAGGAAAAUGAAGAAGGAGAGGUAUUUAUAACUGUAUAAUAGCUGCAUGAAGAAGUUCCUAAUGUAUAUCUAUAAUUAGCUGACUAGUUAAUCCUUAAUGUAUUAAUUUAUUCAUUAAUUUAAGAAAUAUUCAUUAAUUUAAGGGCAUCUCUACUGGGGAAAGUUGUGGGCACUAGAAUUACAAAAAUGAAUGAGACACAUUCCCCCCCUUAAGGAGCCUAGAAGGAAAUAUAUAAAUAACUACAGUGAUUUCUUCUCAGAUCAAAUGAAGAUGAGGAUUAUCUGCUUCCCGGUGUUAUCUUUUGAAGAAAAAUGCAUGGAACUUGAAAUAGGAAAAACCAAAUUCAUGUUCACAAUUGCUUUGCCUGUACAAUAUUGUCAUCACAAACCGGGUAGUGGUAAUACAUGCCUUGGGCUGUGAAUAGCACUGUACAUUUCAGUUUUGAUUUGUCCAAAGUAUGCAAGUGAUAAUUCUUAUUAUUUCUUUCAAGGAGCAAAACAAUCAAAACCACCAUCAGUGUAAACUCAGAGCAUCCUUGGUGCUAGAGAUUUCUAUCAUAAUAAUGAUUCCUGGAGUUCCUGUUGCAGUUCAGUUGGUUAAGAAUCCAGCUGCAGUGGCUUGGGUUGCCGUGGAGGUGCUGCCAAUCGGAUGACCUUAAAAUCAGGAGUUCAUUUUGGAUUAUCUGGACAGGUAUAACAUAAUGCUUAGGGAGGGAGGCAGUAGAAGAGAGUCAAAGGGAGAUGUGACUGAGGGAGAGUAGUCAGAGGGAUGGGACAUUGCCGGCUUUGAAAAUGGAGGAAGGGGCCUAAAGCGAAGGAAUGAGGAUGACCUCUAGAAGCUGGAAAAGGCAUGAAAACAAAUCCUCCCCUAAAGCCUCCAGAAAGGGACAGAGCCACACCACUCCUUAUUUUAGCCCCUUGAGACCCAUGCUGGAUUUCUGACCUACAAAGCUGUAGGACAAUAAACUUUUGUUGCUUUGUGCAACUCCAUUUGCAGUAAUUUGUUACAGCAGGAGCAGGGAACUAACUCAGAUGGGGUGGCUGUUAGAGACCCCUAGCUCUCCGCCUUCAAAGCAGACAUGUGACUAGCAAGCCUGUGCUGUCGCCGUGUGAGGACACUUACAGGUUGGAAUGAUGGUUUCAUUCAAUUAUUUAUGAAUAAAUAUGCCUCACACAUCUACUUGAUGCCAGCUACUAUUCCAGGGCCAACAGCAAACAAGACAUAAAACAAUCCUGCCUUCAUGAGGCUAUCACUGUAGAAGCAGAGACAGGCAAUAAAUGAGUAAAACACAUCAUAAGCUACAUAGUGAUAGAAAAGUAUAAGGAGAGAGGGUGAUGGGAAGUAGGGUGUGUGUGUGUGUGUGUGUGUGUGUUGUGUUGUGUGUGUGUACAGUGGUUUGUAACUUUUAGAUGGGGAUUCCAAGGGCAGAGUCACUGAGAAAGUGAUAUGUGAAAUGAAGACCUGAAGACUUAUCAGGAAAGAGGAGAUAAACCACGUGGCUUUCUGGGGAAAGAUAAUCCAGAGCAAAGAGGAUGCAAAGGUCCUAAGGACAGGGGAUGUGACAUACUGAUGUAUUGGGGAGAAGAUAUUUAAAACUUCUGGGGAGCUAGUUGAUCUUCUGAGUAGUGUGGAGUUGGACAUUUUUCUACUCAGCUGGUAGCCCCCCAUUUUUUUUUUUUAAAUCACUUCUGCUGCAGAGUAAAAGCAGAUCAUUUCCCAAGGCCUGCCUGAGGGAGCCUGAGGCAGAGAGUACGAGGAUUUUUCAGUGCUGAUAACCAAUGUUAGGGAUCAGUCAUUUGAAUUAAUAAGGAGAAUGGGGGAAAGAGAGGCAAAUGAUGUAAAUAGUGGUUACCAUUUCCCUAAAAAUUUGAAUAGCUCUCGCUAUUUGACAAGAGUAGUGUGGUUGGUUAGUGACUAGAAACAGGCAUAACUGGGACUGUUUUAAACCCAACCAGCAGUUCAUCAGAACUGUUGGGAAAGGUCAAUCUCUUUUUCUCUCAUCAUAUUGCUCCUUUCUAAUAUAAAUCUCGCAGGGUAACUUUUAUCCUCUAUUUUCAGACAGAAUCCACAGCCACUCUCUCCUACUGCCAUUGUGUAGCAUUUCUUUAAAGGAGCAGGCUACACAGUACCUCAAAUGAUCCUUGCAGUGGAGGGGAUGGAGUCUGAACACUUACAAUUCAGAAGGAGCCAGGUGUGACCAGAGAGGAGGAGGCUAGCUGGCAGUAGUAGGUUGGGUUGACUACAGACUCACUCUGGAUAAGAGGCAUAUGUAAGAAAUGUCAGAGCUUGGUUUCUUACCCAGCAAUGAUCUAUAAAAGAGAGAGAGAAAAGUAAUGGAGUGAACUACGGGAAGAGAAAAGAUGAACCUAGAGGUAUAUGACAGUUGAGAAUCAUGGCCUCCAAAUUCUUUGCUCCUCUUCUCAUCAAGAAGUGAGGUCCAUGCCUCCUCCCCUUGAAUCUUCUUGUGACAGCUUGACCAAUGGAAUGGAACAGAAGGGACACUGUGUCAAUUUCUGAUGGGGUAGUUGUUUCCAUUUUCAGUUUGUUGAGAUGCUUGCUCUUGGCACCUAGUUACCAUGCCAUGAGGAAGCUCAACCUAUCCCCCAGAAAGGCCCAUGUGUAGAGGAACCAACAGCCCCAUGCUAGGGCCAUCUUGGAAGGAGACACCCCCCUAGCCACCCAGCCCAGUCAAGUGACCCCAGCUGAUGUUACAACUAAGCACAUGAGCUGUUCCUGCCGACUCCUGCCUGGAUUGUGGGUUUGUGAAAAAAUAAUUAUUGUUAUUCCAAGCUACUAACUUUUGGGGUAGCUUGUUGUAUGUGAAUAAUUGCAACAAGGUAUAUUUUAGGGGAUGAGAAGGAGAAAUGUCAGGUCUUAUGUAUGAUUAUUUUUUUAUUUCAAGUAUAUGUAAUAUAUAAUAUAAAACAUAUUAAAAUCACUCAACUCAACCACCUAGGAUUAUUGACUUUCUCCUCAGAACAACACACGUAUAUCAACCAUUUGAGUACAGUUUCAGGAGUCUCAGAACCUCCUAUCUGGGGCAUGUAGACCUCAGGUUGAGAACUUCUGUGAUGACUGUCUCUCCAGUGCUAUUAGUUAUAAAGUGGAAUAUCCUUCGGGAAGGAUGUGGGAAAGGACACUGGAUUUUGUGUUACUAGACUUGUAUUUUAUUCCAGCCCUUUCACGGACUUACUCUUUGUAUGUGGAUCAAAUAUAAUAUCCCUAUAUUUUCUUGGGUGGUAAAAUGUAUAUUGAAAUCCUGUCCUUCUUUAUUCAAAGGAAUGUUGAGACUGGAAAAAAAAAAAAAAAAAAGGACUUCCCCAGUGACCUAGCUGUUAAGAUUUGGUGUUGUCACUGCUGUGGCUUGGGUUUGAUCCCUGGCCUGGGAACUCUGCAUGCCCUGGGGCCAAAAAAAGGAAAGUGAACAUAUUUAGAGAAGUGAUAAUUUGCCCCUCAGAGGUAUUUGUUGAAUUAAUUGCUGCUGCUGUUGUCCACUGAAGAUUGCUUGAUUAGGUUGCCCAAAGCUUUAAGGGCAAGGUUUUGCACAUAAAAUAACUCUGGGACAUGGAUCCUAGGGAAAGAGUACCAAAGAGUGUAGGAAGAAAAGGGGAAGUUGAGUACAGUGUUUCCUUUUCACUCUGUUCUCUUUAGUUUUGAAGUCAGUAGAGAGGAACUAGGGGAAACAGUAGCCUGCAAAGAUUGGUAUCAGUUUACACCAAAGCAAAACUCUGCUCACCAACACAAAGACUUGGAAGCAAUAUACACAGAAAUCUCACAAAAUAUAAAAACACGUAGACACUGCCUUCGGCACUGGCGUCAUUGGGUAGAAAGUCUAUUUACACUGGUUCUUAUGAGGUCAGCAAAACAUUUUGAAUAGCAACUCCUUGGCGGCCUGCAGUGGGUCUGAAAAUAUGAAAUAAAACAUAAACAGCAGACCUGACUUCUGAGCAGGGCGUUCCAAGAUUGCUUCCUUGCUUUCUGCUGUAACAGAUUGCAUUGUUACUGUAUUUGCAGUUUUCUAUCAUCUCAGAUGAAAAGAUCCCAGCCAGAUGGUUAGGGUAAAACCCAAAACACAGGUGAUGGAAGGCAACACCCAAUGUUAAAACCUUCAACAAAGACGAUCCUCUGUGGUUGUUUUCCUUCCCAUUGCGUAAAUAUAGGGAUAGGGAGAGGCGGGGAGAAAAAGCAGAAAUCACAUCUAUCUGCAUGGAUUGAAGGCAAUUUAGUUUCCAUCAGACGUGGUGACAUUGAUCAAUGAAUCACACAAUGUCGAACAACAGUUGCCCAGCACAGACUGUGCCACAGGAUCCAGAUCAGAGAUAUCUGCAAUAUGCUUAGUUUUCACAUCAAUGUAAGUGGAGUCAAUUUGGGCUAACCUAAAUGGCCUUUAGAAAUAGUUUAUCACCCCUUUCUCUGUUUUAUCCUCUAUUGCCU
rnacentral:lncRNA from 1 species